rnacentral:rRNA from 1 species
UGGGGAAUAUUGCACAAUGGGCGAAAGCCUGAUGCAGCAACGCCGCGUGAGUGAUGAAGGCCUUCGGGUUGUAAAGCUCUGUCUUUUGGGACGAUGAUGACGGUACCAAAGGAGGAAGCCACGGCUAACUACGUGCCAGCAGCCGCGGUAAUACGUAGGUGGCAAGCGUUGUCCGGAUUUACUGGGCGUAAAGGAUGCGUAGGCGGAUUUUUAAGUGAGAUGUGAAAUACCCGGGCUUAACUUGGGUGCUGCAUUUCAAACUGGGAAUCUAGAGUGCGGGAGAGGAGAAUGGAAUUCCUAGUGUAGCGGUGAAAUGCGUAGAGAUUAGGAAGAACACCAGUGGCGAAGGCGAUUCUCUGGACCGUAACUGACGCUGAGGCAUGAAAGCGUGGGUAGCAAACAGGAUUAGAUACCCUGGUAGUCCACGCCGUAAACGAUGAGUACUAGGUGUAGGAGGUAUCGACCCCUUCUGUGCCGCAGUUAACACAAUAAGUACUCCGCCUGGGAAGUACGAUCGCAAGAUUAAAACUCAAAGGAAUUGACGGGGUCAUAGCUGUUUUCC